rnacentral:rRNA from 1 species
UACGUAGGGCGCAAGCGUUGUCCGGAUUCACUGGGUGUAAAGGGUGCGCAGGCGGGCUGUCAAGUCUGGGGUGAAAUGCCGCGGCUCAACCGUGGAACUGCCUCAGAUACUGACGGCCUCGAGGAAGGUAGGGGCAUGCGGAACUGUAGGUGGAGCGGUGAAAUGCGUUGAUAUCAUCAGGAACUCCGGUGGCGAAAGCGGCGCGCUGGACCUUUACUGACGCUGAGGCACGAAAGCCAGGGGAGCGAACGGG